CCAGAUGUGUAUUAAAGUAGCCACCUUAAGUUAAACCUUAGUUAACAAUAAUCUCUCACAUCUGUCAUGGAAUACUCUCAAACCCAAUCCACGUCUACGAGCAUAGCAUGGCAAUGUAAGCAUGACGUAAUAGUAACUCCCAAGGGUUUGAUAAUAAACAGGUAAUAGGUACUACCUCAACUACUUCCCAUCCCACAAUUUAAUUAGAUCCUAAUCAUGCAAUGUUUGAGGUUUGAUCUAAUGCAAAUAAAACUGGGUAGUAAGAGGUAUGAUCAAAGUGUGAACUUGCCUGCAAUGUUGAUGAAGAUGAUUCGCACUCAAAACUCUUGAUAGUUCUACUCGUCACACUCCAGUCAAUCUAUCGUAAUCAAGCAAUAGUAACCACACAUAAGCAAUCACUCAAAAAACCAGAAGGAUCGAAGAAGUCGAUUCGGAAAACAUCAAAACCAAGCAAAUAGCUCUUGCACCAUAAAACAAUUUCUAACAGUACCAAAAUUAUGUGAAUUUGGCCUUAUCAGAAGGUUUAGGUCAAGAACUUCGAUUUGCAAAAAGAAUCAACUCAAACGGAGCUACGAAACUCAAGUUAUGAUCAAACGAAGUUUGAAUUCAAAUCUGAUCUGAUUUAAAUUUUAAACUUUUCAGAAAACAUGUUUGUGUUGGAUUACUGGAAAGAGGGGAUCAUAACAAAGACGUGGGUGUUGGUUUCGUCUAAUUUGGAUAAAGAAGUGAAAAGUUAUGGCUAUUUGAAAAAUCAGGGCCAAGUUGUUUUACGAAAGAAGAAAAAAAUAGCUACGGGCUAGGGUCUAAUGUAUAAAUACGUAGACUAAUUGAUAAUCUAAUUAUUUUAUCAUAUUAGUGUAAAAAUAAUAAACUACGAAGGUAUAAGAAGAAAAAAACGAAGAAAGAUACCUUUAUAAGGCAGAGAAAAGACAACUUUGGAGAGAAGAGACAAUUUCCAGAAGUCGCGCCGGGAGGAGAAAUAUAUGUUUCUUAAAUGAAUCUAGUCAAACCAAAAUAUUGAUUUAACCCGAAUCGAAUGAUUUUUGGAGGCUCUAUAGGUCUAUAUUUAUUGGUGGAAAAGAGGCUUAGGGGUCAAAGGCUAGGCAAUGUGGGACUAAAUGUAGACGAAAAUAUACGAAACAGAGAAGAAAAGAGGCGAUGGGCCUAAAGGCCUUCGGCCGGCCGCACGGUGCAGUUUUUUUUACAGAAUGCGAUAAACUGAAAAACGAAAAUAAUAUAAAACUUUUUAUAGGCAUAUUAUAUAUCAAAAUUUUUAGAAAAAGAUUUUCUACGACAUGAGCAUUUUUAUAACUUCAAAUAAAAUCCACACAAAUUCAGAUAAAUCAAAGAGUGCUACUGGUCUAUUAAAAUCCAACAGAAAUCAUUUUAAAAAUACCAAAAUGAUUUCAAAUUAAUUUUUCUCCAAUUCUCUAUUGUAGGGAAUCAUUUUACCCUAAUUUCUAUAUAUUUUAUUUUUGGAGAAAAAUAAUUUGAUUAAAACCCAAAUAACUCCAAAUUGAAAAUAAAUUCAAAAGAACUUUGAAUUUAAUUCUUUGAAACUCCCAACUCAUAUUUCAUAUAAUUUGAAGAAGUCAUUGUAUCUUCUCUCAUGAAAAUAAUUGAGUUGCAUGAAGUUUAUGAAUUGAAAUAUUUCCAAAUGAAAUUCAAAUAUUUUCAAAUACCCCUUUCAUUUAAUUUAAAUGGAAGAAGUCAUGUCAUCUUCUCUCUAGGGUUUUGUAUUCGAAAAGAAUUUGAAUUCACGAAGAUCAUAAAUGCAAAAUGGAAGUUUGAGAAAGUCCUUUUAUUCCCUCUCAUUUAACUUUCAUAAGUUUCGAAUUUGACUCACUUUCAGUCAAUCAAUUAAACAGUCAAUCAAAUCUAUCUAUUUAAUAUAACAUUCCAAAAUUUAGAAUUUUGGGGUGUUACAAACCUACCACCCUUAAAAUGAAUCUCGUCCUCGAGAUUUGGAGAGGCUAGCAAGAAAAGGUUAGGGUUUGGGGGUCUCCUCAAAAUCCAUCGAUCAUCACACGGGGUCUGGGGUGCUACCACCCUUAGAAGCAUGGUUACGGUUCCAUCAAAACUCAUAUACUUCAUCCAUAUUGUUAACAGUGUCGGUCUUCUCAAAUUCUCGGGAAAAUUCCGUCUCUGGGCUCUUCCGAUAGCGGCAUAACCUUUUUCCUCAAUUUUGGUAUGGUUAUUCUGUGACUGGGUCUGGCGCCAAAACUAAACAACUAUCGAUAUCUCAUGGUGGUCAACAAUUUAUGGUUUCUCCUGCAGGAAAUGGGUCUGGGUUGAACCUCACCGUAUAACCUACGGUUGGCAACAACUGCCGUGUACAAGCGAAAAAUACUUAUACCAUUCUAAGUUUAAACAGGGUUUUGAUCGUCAUCUCUUUACUAUAGGUAAGUCACUCAGAUUUACCAUCCCACAUAGCAAGGCGAAUAAUAAGAGUAAGUCAGUAUGGUGAUCAAUCCAUCCCGCACCCAAAUCAUUACCUUGUAUACGGUUUAGCGAAUCUCGCGUUCUAACACUCGGUCAUCCUCACAAGCAUUGCAGAAUUUCUCUUGUCCACGAACUGCGUUCGUAAUAAUCCAUUGAUUCCGCAAGCCAAACAAACAUCUAUCGUUCCUUCACAACUCUCAGGUUUUGCGUUACUCCUAUAAAAUUGUCUUAUUGAUAAAAUCGUAACUUCGUCCAGGGUUUUUCCUUCAGCAAGAGUGUGCUUGCUUCUUGGCAGGUCCUGGGGCAUGUGGGUUAUGGCCCAUCUCAUCACUUGCAAACCUUGAACUCUUCAUCGGGGCAACAGAUCUCUAAUCCAACAUCCAACUUCCAGCUUUCAUAGUAUACUAAAAUCCAUCCAAUUGUACUGUCUCCCUUCCUUCUAUUGGCACCAAACUAGGACAUGAUUACUCAGACUCAUCAUGGAGUUUCCAUUGAUCCAUAUUUCCAACAUCAUACCUCCUUUAUAUCCAAUGGUAACUCAUCUCUUCAUCCUCAUGGGAUAUCCCACAUACCGAGAUAAAAACUUAUACUUAUGGAGUCCAUAUUCCACUUCGUGGAACAUCAUUAUCCUUUCCAGGGUCAAGCGUCCUUACAGGGAAAUAUUGGCCAUCUCUGCAUGACACUUCUUCAACUGGGAAAUGUGAAACACAUCAUGAACUCCUGACAGUCCUUCGGGUGAUUCCAACUUGUUGGCCACUUCUCGCAUACGCUCCAAAACUCGGUAUGGUCCUAAAAAUCUCGCGGCUAACUAUCUCUUAACUCCAAAUCGUUUAACUCCUCGCAGAGGGGGCACACGAAGACAUGCUUGUCUCCAAUUUCAUAUACUACCUCCUUGAGUUUUUGAGUCUGCAUAACUCUUCUGCCUGGACUGAGCAACCUUCAGUCUAUCUAGAAUCAACUUAAUAUUCUCUUCUGACUCCUUGGUCACAUUUGGUCCAAACAACUGACGGUCUCCAACUUCAUCUCACACACUCUUGGGGUAUCACACAUAUCGAGACAAAACUCGUAUUCAUUUUGUCUGAAAUCCACUCAGUGGAGUAUCCUUAUCUUUUCCAGGGGUCAAGAGUUCUUACAGGGUACUACCACCCUUAAAAUGCACAAAUCUUCCAUAGACCAUAUUUCUCAUAUCCUCAUAAUGGCCAAAAUUCUUCUUCAUAGAGUAACAACUCAUAAAACCCAAAUCUUUACCAAUGAUGCUAACUUUAUUGAUUCUCCAAUGAUUACAAUCUCUUGCUUUUCCAUUACAUGCCUCAACUCAACACCUCAAUAUAAAAGAAAAUGUUCCCACUUCUACUACUCCAUUUCUUUUGUUGCAAACUCAACUAUAUAGCACAAGUUUCCUUCUCCUUGGGGCAUUCUCUGGCAAAGUGCCCUGCUCCAUUACAACGAAAACAUAUGACUUCUGACAAGUCUCGAGGUUACCUUUUUGGGCAACUGCUGAGGUAGUGCCCUGACUCCUUGCACCUAUAACAGGUGAUAUGACUCAGGUCAUUCCUGGAAUCCAAUCGGCUUCUCUUCCUAGACCUUUCCAUGCCAAUCAUGGCUUCUAUUUCCUGUGGGUCAUAUUCUACUUCCUCUAUCGGGAAUUCUACUAGAUCCCCAUUCAAACAAUUUUGGGAGAUGUGUCCUUCUUCUCCACAUGAAUAGCAAGACUUAGUGAAGGGUUUACUCGGGUCUUCUUUAGGUGUGUCCUCCAUCUCUUCCUUCAUCACGGGUUCUUCUAAAAUUUCCAUAAGGGCUCCUUUCAUUACUUCUUUCUUCUGCUGGAUAGUUCGUUGUACCAUGGGGUAAAUGUGACACUAAGCAGGAUAGUGGGUAGUCCCUUCACACAAGAAACAAGUAAUCUGCCUAGUUGGGCAUUCUUCAACUGGGUGACUUCCUUCACAAUUAGGGCAUUCAUCCUUGUGUUCUUUAUGGGUGUGUCCUAUUUCUCCACAAAUCUUGCAUGCACAAGUUUUCUUCAUAUCCUUUCCAUAAGGUUUCAACUUUUGGGACACAAACCGAGACCUUGGCAAAGUCAACUUAAUUUCUUUCCAAGUGGUUACUCCUUGCCAUCCAUUCAUGGUUUGGUACAUUCUCCACCAAGUGGCAGCACCUCUUUCAAAGCACUGAAGAGCAUGCUGGGUCAUAUCAUUUCCAGCUAUAGGGUUAUUCUUCUUGUGAUCCUCCAUGUUCUGAAUCCAUCGGUCUGUCUCCAAUAGACUCAUCGGUCCAGAAAAUAUAAGCUCAUCUUCAUUCAUCCUCUAUUGGGUCCAUGUGGGUUUGGGGUAAGAUAAGAGAGAGGGAGAGGGAUACACACAAUACAAACAAAAGUUUUGAAAAGACAGAUUUUAUUUGUGGCCGUCGGGAAAACAUCAAACAAAUGACAGCUCACAAACGUCACAUCUAACGUAGGUAUAUAACAGGGGUUUGGUCUUCUAAAGGUCAAUAAAUCUUCAACUCUCCAAACACUUCAAGCCUUGUUCAUGCCUCCAAUGGCUUCUUCCGAUCAUGCUUGUCUUUCUCAAGUUCUUUUGCCAGAUCAACUCUGUUGACGCGAAGUCUCUCGUGACGUCCUUUAAUAUUCUGGAGUUGCGUUCCAAACUUCUGGUUUCAACAUCCUUCACAUGAACCAUGGUCAUACUGUCCUUCAUUUCCUCACAAAUCUCUGGUAUCUCGAGGUUGUAGCUCCUCCAGCUUGGCUACUUUCAGCUUUUGGUUCCUAAGUUCUUCACGAAAUGCUUCCUUGUCUAAUACGUCUUCAUGGAGCUCCACCUUAAACUUCUUGAUGUACUACUCCAGAUCCUGGUGAUACACCGGCUAAGGUUAAAACAUCAUCUUACUAAUAGGUGUUCUAUCAGCCUGGUACCAUCCAAUCCUUCCAUGCAUAUGCACGCUUUAACUCAGCACGGUGACAAUAGCAUAAGCGGGCGAUAACCUCAUGGAUAGUCGUGUUUCUGCUCUUGUCAUUUCCAUGAGCUAUCUCUCCAUAGUUGAUAUCUCCUACCUUAGGGUGUUUCUUUACAGAACUUUGAGUUUUUAACUCUCCAUGUUCCGGUCUUUCUUCGAUACACCUUGAUCUCGGGUAUUGACAAUUUCCAUGGUCUGCCAAGUUCCAUAAGGGUAGCCCUUCUAGGUCAUAAAAUCUGGGAAUUUCUUCAGAGCCUUCAAAAUCUCCUAGUCUUUGGCCUUCAACCAUUGUAGUUUCCAUUAUUCAGAUGCACGGAAAUUACUCUUCAUUCCGAAGUGGUCUUAGUUGUCCAAUAUCUGGUACUUCUUGGAGUGGUCUCAUCAGUCGAAUUCUUCAUGUGGUCAAAAGGGAAAGGGUUAUGGUCUCACUAAAGGGAAUUUUUGAAUAAGCUCAGAAAAGAAGAGAUGUAAAAGAUCUUUUUGAAAGGGAAAGUUGUAGAGAAAAAUCUUUGCUAUGGGCUUGCCAGUUUCUAGGGUCACGUCCUACAGUCAACAUGUGCUCUGAUACCAUCUUGUAGCGACCUGACCCGAAUGGAUCAAGUCUCUGUGCUUAAGUGUCAUCCCUGGAUCGAUAUGCUGACACACACAGUACUCGAGGAUUUAUAACAGAGGUAACUCACAUGUAUAAGUAACGUAAAUACUAUUACCUCAAUCCAAAUAGCGGAAGUAACAAGGUUGUGGAUUCCCAUCAACACCAACAGCAAAGUUGAGUGUAGAAAUCGUAACCCUAACGUAUCACUUACUCGUCGUAAGAUAAUCCUGCAACAUGAGACGUUGCAGCCACAGAGGGUCAGUACAUUGAAUGUACUGGCAAAUUCACACCAGAGGAUAAUGAUGAAUAAAGGCUAUCACUACAUGCAUAUAUGGCUGGUGGAAAAGCUCUAUGGUUAUAAGGUUUUUGCGAAAAGCCAAUUUUUCCCUACUACAAAGGAAUAAAUUUUAUUUUUAACUAUCAUGGUAGUUGUUAAACAUUGAGAAUGGUUGACAGCAUUCUCAAAUCCCAAUUAAGUAACAUCAUUAAACCCAACAAUAUUCAUUUAAAGUAACAUGAUGAGAUCAACAGGAUAAUCCAAGAACUAGAUACUCAAGAUGUCCAUAACCAGGGACACGGCUAAUCAUGAUUAGUUUAUACACUCUGCAGAGGUUUGCGCACUUUUCCCCACAAGACUCGAUCUCCUCCGUUGGAUUUCUCGCACAUGGUAUUUGAGAAACGGAUGACCGAGACAUAGUCUUUCAGAAGCGUUUGCACCUUACGAUGGGUAGACCGUACCACCUACAACCCCUACAUCUGCUAGUCUACCACUAUAAGAGUUCACACGACUUAAUCAACUAUGCUAGAGCCCAUAAUAGCUUGUGGCUGCACACGGAAGUUUCUAGCAUGAAUAAUCUUAUGAUCCCUUUGAGCCUGGGUGGCGAACCAUAGGAGGAUCACACGGUAACCCCAGGAUCUCCUAGGACAACAAUGGUAUAUCCCCAGGUGUCCGGGCAAGUCCACUGGUAUAUCCCCAGGGUGCCCCAACCAAUCCACCCAGAGGUGUAUUAAAAUAGCCACCUUAAGUAAAACCUUAGUUAACAAUAAUCUCCCACAUCUGUCAUGAAAUACUCUCAAACCCAAUCCACGUCUACGAGCAUAGCAUGGCAAUGUAAGCAUGACGUAAUAGUAACUCCCAAGGGUUUGAUAAUAAACAGAUAAUAGGUACUACCUCAACUACUUCCCAUCCCACAAUUUAAUUAGAUCCUAAUCAUGCAAUGUUUGAGGUUUGAUCUAAUGCAAAUAAAACUGGGUAGUAAGAGGUAUGAUCAAAGUGUGAACUUGCCUGCAAUGUUGAUGAAGAU
rnacentral:lncRNA from 1 species